GGGCCCGCACAAGCGGUGGAGUAUGUGGUUUAAUUCGAUGAUACGCGAGGAACCUUACCAGGGCUUAAAUGUAGAACGACCGAUUUGGAAACAAGUCUUCUCUUUGAGCGGUCUACAAGGUGCUGCAUGGUUGUCGUCAGCUCGUGCCGUGAGGUGUCGGGUUAAGUCCCUUAACGAGCGCAACCCCUAUCUCUAGUUGCCAGCGGAUAAUGCCGGGGACUCUAGAGAAACUGCCCGUGCAAACGGUGAGGAAGGUGGGGAUGACGUCAAAUCAUCACGGCCCUUACGUCCUGGGCUACACACGUACUACAAUGCUACGGACAAAGGGCUGCAAGUUCGCGAGGACAAGCAAAUCUCAUAAACCGUGGCUCAGUUCAGAUCGUAGGCUGCAACUCGCCUACGUGAAGGAGGAAUCGCUAGUAAUCGCAGGUC
rnacentral:rRNA from 1 species